rnacentral:rRNA from 1 species
UCUUUUUCCACCGGAGCUUGCUCCACCGGAAAAAGAGGAGUGGCGAACGGGUGAGUAACACGUGGGUAACCUGCCCAUCAGAAGGGGAUAACACUUGGAAACAGGUGCUAAUACCGUAUAACAAUCGAAACCGCAUGGUUUUGAUUUGAAAGGCGCUUUCGGGUGUCGCUGAUGGAUGGACCCGCGGUGCAUUAGCUAGUUGGUGAGGUAACGGCUCACCAAGGCGACGAUGCAUAGCCGACCUGAGAGGGUGAUCGGCCACAUUGGGACUGAGACACGGCCCAAACUCCUACGGGAGGCAGCAGUAGGGAAUCUUCGGCAAUGGACGAAAGUCUGACCGAGCAACGCCGCGUGAGUGAAGAAGGUUUUCGGAUCGUAAAACUCUGUUGUUAGAGAAGAACAAGGAUGAGAGUAACUGUUCAUCCCUUGACGGUAUCUAACCAGAAAGCCACGGCUAACUACGUGCCAGCAGCCGCGGUAAUACGUAGGUGGCAAGCGUU